rnacentral:misc_RNA from 1 species
AUAACAAGAAAUGCUCAUAGACAGUCCAAAUUCCCCAUCAAUCAUUCCUAUAUGGGAAAAUAUGUUGAUCACAAGACAGAGUCAACUAAAAUUCUCUUUCUAUGUUGAGUUAGAAUGUUAAAAGUAGAAUGGAACAUGUUUCUAUAUUCUAUUAUUAUGCACAUUCACCACUUGAUUGAAUAUAGGAAGAGCUUCUUUGCCCCGUCCAGCGGUUUCUAGCCUAGUAGCUGGGGGAAAAGAAAGAGAAGCUUGAAGCUUGGAUUCAGGGAGUGAUUUGCUUGCGUGAAGCAGCAGGUUGAAUUGCCACGGAAGGAGAUAAGCCCAAAGGAAUCCAAGCAUUCAAGCAUGGAGUACGUGGAUCAAGCGCUCUCGUGCAACCCUUGGUAAUUUGCCUGUGAUUGAAGGGCAGACUUACACCUGCCGACUUACAGUGCCGGCUACUGGUGUCAAAGCAUAGAAGCCCUUCAGGUCCCAUGGGGCUUGCUGGUGCUUCAUGUUUUCUUUUCCUCUUCAGUACUUUCCAUAAUAGCUUGUCAUCUUUUGUUUUCUCUUCCUCCAUGCCUAAUAACUCGUGUGAAGUAGGAGGUUUUAUAAGCCCAACUUCAGAAAGGGAAAGGUGUUCAUUCAUUCUCGUCACUCUUUCUUCUACCGUCUUUAACUUGCAUAUAGCCUCAAUUUUUCCCUCUUCUGCCACCCUGACUUUCUUCCUUGCUUCUUCUAACUGGAGCGUUCCAUCUCUUAUCCUUCUUUCCAUCUCCUCCACCAUGGCCAAUAAGCGCACAAAUGUUCCAUUCCUUAUAUCAUCCUUCAUGCCCAUCACAUACUCCACCAUUGGAUUACACAUCUUUUCAGCCAAUCCCUGAAUUAGGUUCUCCACACCGCCCUCCACCGAGCCCAGAAUAGCAUUCACAUUGUUGAAUAUUUCUUUAAGGAGCCUCAGUGUUAUGAGAAAUAUGUCAUGGUUUUGACUAUGAAGGGCAGAUAUAUGAGACACGGAUUUCUGGAAGAACUUGUUGAGGGAGACACGGUGGCUGUCAAGGGUCCCGAAAAUGUCAUCUUGACGACAGUUGACGUGGAUUUCAAUUUGUCUAAGGAGGCGCACUAGUUGUAAGAAGUUUGUUUGUUGCUUCUCCAUGAGUUCUUUGCCUGCUAUGGCAGCUCUAGUAGCAUAACUUUCUUCCUCCAAUUUACCAAUCUGAUAGCUUUGCUCUCUUCUUGUAUUACCAUCCGAUGAUUCCGAUUCCACUCCAUUUCUCCGGCUUCCUUGAGAGAAAUGAUUAUCGACAAUAAUGGUGGUGAAUCGUCCUUCAUCGGCCAUUUCCUUAGUUUUUAGACCGACCAGUUUGAUCAACGGAAUCGCCAAAGACGCAAACACUUCUUCCGCCUCAAGCAAACCGGAGUUGAUCUGAGACUUGAGCUCGUGAUACGCUAUCUUCAUUUGCUCGUGGCGAGAGGCGAGCCUUUUGAGCUUGAAGCAAAGCUCAUUCGUAGACGGAGACGGAGUACUCCGAGAUCUCUGGUGCCGAUUCGCCAUUUUUGGCGGGAAGAAGCUCAUUUGCCACACUUCAGUGACUCUGGAAUUUUACCUCAAACCGUUUCACGGGAAGUUUGAAUAAUUGAAACGAGUUUAUU